CGGUCGACCGGCGCACGGGUAAGUAACGCGUAUCCAACCUGCCCACCACUUGGGGAGUAACCUUGCGAAAGUAAGACUAAUACCCAAUGAUAUCUCUAGAAGACAUCUGAAAGAGAUUAAAGAUUCAUCGGUGAUGGAUGGGGAUGCGUCUGAUUAGCUUGUUGGCGGGGUAACGGCCCCCCAAGGCAACGAUCAGUAGGGGUUCUGAGAGGAAGGUCCCCCACAUUGGAACUGAGACACGGUCCAA
rnacentral:rRNA from 1 species